UUCGGGGUAGCUGAACGGGUAAAGCACUCGGCUGUUAACCGAGCGGUUGCAGGUUCGAGUCCUGCCCCCGAAG
rnacentral:tRNA from 1 species